rnacentral:lncRNA from 1 species
AUACUCCCAUCUGUCAUGGCAGCUGCAGCAAGCCUCACCCAAGGAGAGUCUGGCUGGAGGCCAAACAACACAAAACCAGCACACUUAACAAAAAUAUAACCAAUGACCCUUGCAGAGUCCACUUAACUCCCCUCCACCAGAGCAGGUGCUGGUAUCCACAGCUGAGAGACCUGAAGAUGGAUCACAUCACAGGACUCCUUGCAGACAUUCUCCAGUACCAGCCCAGAGCCUGGUAGGUCUGUUGGGUGGCUAGACCAGUAUUCUAAGUGAAGUAACUCGGAAAUGGAAAACCAAACAUCAUCUGUUCUCACUCAUCAGUAGGAGCUAAGCUAUGAGAACACAAAGGUAUAAAAAUGAUACAAUGGACUUUGGGGACUUGGGGGAAAGGGUGGGUGAGGGUUGGGAUAAAAGACUACACAUUGGGUACAGUGUACACUGCUUAGGUGAUGGCUGCACCAGAAUCUCAGAAAUCACCACGGAAAACUUAUCCAUGUAACCAAGCACCACCUGUUCCCCAAAAACCUAUUGGAAAAAAUAAAGGACAACAUGGAUGAAACUGGAGAUUAUUAUGUUAAAUGAAAUAAGCUAGGCACAGAAAGACAAACAUCACAUGUUCUCACUUACUUGUAGGUUUUUUCACUUACUUAUAGAGGUGGGGAUGGUUAAUGUGUACAAAAAAAUGGAUGAAUAAUACCUACUGUUUGAUAGCAGAACAAGGUGGCUAUAGUCAAUAGUAACUCAACUGUACAUUUUAAAAUAACCUGAGUGUACUUGGAUUGUUUGUAACUCAAAGGAUAAAUGCUUGAGGGGACGGAUGACCCAUUAUUCAUGAUGUGCUUAUUUCACAUUGCAUGCCUGUAUCAAAACAUCUCAUGUACACCAGAAAUAUAUACACUUACUACAUACUCACACAUUUUUUUUUAAAAAAGAAUUAUCUGAUAUAUUUCAAAAUGGUUACUUUUCCCUUCUACCUGCUGAAGACACGAGUGAUUUUUUCUCCGAUAGCCACCGUGAGAACCUGGUUAAGCUCCAUGAGAUUAAAAUUUUCAAAGGUGGUGAGGGGUAUGGGGAGGUGGGGACUGAUCACUGUAUUGAUCUGUAGUUUUUAACUUUCAGACCUGUCCACGCUGAGUUUAUAGCAACUGUCAAUUACGGUUCAGAUUUUCCUACCCCAGCGUGACUUUCCAAAGAGGCUUCUGCUCAUGGAUUUCUGCUCCAAUGCAACAGGAAGGUCCUCACAAGAUGGCUGAACAGAUGCAGGUGCUGUGCCUCUGGACUGCCUAGCCUCCAGAACUGAGGUGUUGGAAGCUGUGAAUGUGGAUGAAAGUACCAAUAUAGAGAGAACAGAGUGAGAAUAGAAGACAGCCCAAGAAUCUAAAGUCAUGCACUUGCAAGGGAGUCAGAGGAAGAGAGGUAAGAAGGAAAAUGGUUCAUUGUUUCCAUCAUGUACUCUAUGGAAUACAAAGCUCUGAAACCUGUUGGCUACUGGAAGUGUACAAGAAAAAGACUCUCAAGCUAGAGGUGGGGUAGAGCUGGAGCCAGCCAUGUCAAGAUCUUUCGAGGACAUGAACAUUUUUUAUGCUUAUUAAAAGAUGAUGUGGUUUUAAAAU